rnacentral:rRNA from 1 species
AGAGUUUGAUCCUGGCUCAGGAUGAACGCUGGCGGCGUGCUUAACACAUGCAAGUCGAACGGUGAAGCCCAGCUUGCUGGGUGGAUCAGUGGCGAACGGGUGAGUAACACGUGAGCAACCUGCCCCUGACUCUGGGAUAAGCGCUGGAAACGGCGUCUAAUACUGGAUAUGUGACGUGACCGCAUGGUCUGCGUCUGGAAAGAAUUUCGGUUGGGGAUGGGCUCGCGGCCUAUCAGCUUGUUGGUGAGGUAAUGGCUCACCAAGGCGUCGACGGGUAGCCGGCCUGAGAGGGUGACCGGCCACACUGGGACUGAGACACGGCCCAGACUCCUACGGGAGGCAGCAGUGGGGAAUAUUGCACAAUGGGCGCAAGCCUGAUGCAGCAACGCCGCGUGAGGGAUGACGGCCUUCGGGUUGUAAACCUCUUUUAGCAGGGAAGAAGCGAAAGUGACGGUACCUGCAGAAAAAGCGCCGGCUAACUACGUA